rnacentral:rRNA from 1 species
UACGUAGGGACUGAGCGUUGUCCGGAAUCAUUGGGCGUAAAGAGCGUGUAGGCGGUUCGGUAAGUCGGCUGUGAAAGUCCAGGGCUCAACCCUGGGAUGCCGGUCGAUACUGCCGGACUAGAGUUCGGAAGAGGCGAGUGGAAUUCCCGGUGUAGCGGUGAAAUGCGCAGAUAUCGGGAGGAACACCUAUGGCGAAGGCAGCUCGCUGGGACGUUACUGACGCUGAGGAGCGAAAGCGUGGGGGAGCGAACAGG